rnacentral:rRNA from 1 species
GACGAACGCUGGCGGCAUGCCUAAUACAUGCAAGUCGAGCGAACAGAUGAAGUGCUUGCACUUCUGUCGUUAGCGGCGAACGGGUGAGUAACACGUAAGGAAUCUACCUAUAAGCGGGGGAUAACAUUCGGAAACGGGUGCUAAUACCGCAUAAUAUCUUCUUCCGCAUGGAAGAAGAUUGAAAGACGGCUCUGCUGUCACUUAUAGAUGACCUUGCGGUGCAUUAGUUAGUUGGUGGGGUAACGGCCUACCAAGACGAUGAUGCAUAGCCGACCUGAGAGGGUGAUCGGCCACAUUGGGACUGAGACACGGCCCAAACUCCUACGGGAGGCAGCAGUAGGGAAUCUUCCGCAAUGGGCGAAAGCCUGACAGAGCAAUGCCGCGUGAGUGAAGAAGGCCUUCGGGUCGUAAAACUCUGUUAUAAGAGAAGAACAAAUUGUAGAGUAACUGCUACAGUCUUGACGGUAUCUUAUCAGAAAGCCACGGCUAACUACGUGCCAGCCGCCGCCGUAA